rnacentral:rRNA from 1 species
AAACUUAAAGGAAUUGACGGGACCCGCACAAGCGGUGGAUGAUGUGGUUUAAUUCGAUGCAACGCGAAAACCUUACCCACCUUGACAUGUACGGAAUCCUUUAGAGAUAGAGGGGUGCUCGAAAGAGAACCGUAACACAGGUGCUGCAUGGCUGUCGUCAGCUCGUGUCGUGGGAUGUUGGGUUAAGUCCCGCAACGAGCGCAACCCUUGUCAUUAGUUGCUACAUUCAGUUGGGCACUCUAAUGAGACUGCCGGUGACAAACCGGAGGAAGGUGGGGAUGACGUCAAGUCCUCAUGGCCCUUAUGGGUAGGGCUUCACACGUCAUACAAUGGUCGGUACAGAGGGUUGCCAACCCGCGAGGGGGAGCUAAUCCCACAAAGCCGAUCGUAGUCCGGAUCGCAGUCUGCAACUCGACUGCGUGAAGUCGGAAUCGCUAGUAAUCGUGGAUCAGCAUGUCACGGUGAAUACGUUCCCGGGUCUU